rnacentral:rRNA from 1 species
GGACUGCCGGUGACAAACCGGAGGAAGGUGGGGAUGACGUCAAGUCCUCAUGGCCCUUAUGGGUAGGGCUUCACACGUCAUACAAUGGUCGGUACAGAGGGUUGCCAAGCCGCGAGGCGGAGCCAAUCCCACAAAGCCGAUCGUAGUCCGGAUUGUUCUCUGCAACUCGAGAGCAUGAAGUCGGAAUCGCUAGUAAUCGCAGGUCAGCAUACUGCGGUGAAUACGUUCCCGGGUCUU